CAACAGAUACUGGGGAGAGGGGAGCCCUGGAGAAAACUUCACAUCCACAGGAUCUGGACAAAAAAAUGGGGAAAAGAAAGCUAAGGGCAAAAAUCUACUCCUGGCAGUAGGCACCAAGUGUCAGAGGCCACAGUGGGCCUGGGAGCAGGAACUCCAGUUGUGCCUCUUAGAGGUUGCUACUUCCUGUGUCGCUCUGAACUCAAGAAACAGAUUCGGCUGAGUCAUGUUCUUCAUUUAUGUCCUCUCUGAGGAUGACAUUCAGCAUUGAAAGCUUUGAUGCUCCAUUUUGAACACAUUCACCAAGGUCAAUCUGGCAUCUCCUCCUUCAGAUACACCACUCACAAUCGGCCUCUGCCUUUUAUACUCAGAAGCAUACAUAUUCCAAGGAAGGUCAGGUGAAGGCAUAAACAGGAAGAAAGCCAUCACCAAGAACUUGAUCAAGUUGGCACCCUGAUCUCCAUACUGUGAGAAGUACAUUUCUGUCAUUUAAGCCACCCAGUCUAUGGUGUUCCAUUUCAGCAGCCCGAACAGACAAAGCCCGAACACCCCAUGUGACCAUACUGAAGAUAGGGUCUUUGAGGAAGAGGUGAUUAAGGUACAAUGAAGUCAUAAGGGGGGAGCCCUGAUUCAGUAGAAUUGGUGUGCUAAGGAGAGGCAGAGAAGUCAGAGAACUUGCUUUCUCUCUCCACCAUGUGAGGAUACAGAGAGAAGGUGGCCAUCAGCAAACCAGAAAGAGAGGCCUCACCAGUAACCGACCAUGCUUGGCACUUGGUCUUGGACUUCUAGCCUCCAAAAACAUGAGAAAAUAAAUUGCUGU